rnacentral:rRNA from 1 species
UACGUAGGGGGCGAGCGUUGUCCGGAUUUAUUGGGCGUAAAGAGCGUGUAGGCGGCCAGGUAGGUCUGCUGUGAAAACUCGAGGCUCAACCUCGAGACGUCGGCGGAAACCAUCUGGCUAGAGUCCGGAAGAGGAGAGUGGAAUUCCUGGUGUAGCGGUGAAAUGCGCAGAUAUCAGGAAGAACACCCGUGGCGAAGGCGGCUCUCUGGGACGGUACUGACGCUGAGGCACGAAAGUGUGGGUAGCAAACAGG